rnacentral:lncRNA from 1 species
CGGCAACAGUACCUUGAGUUUUCAACCUGAAGCCCGCCCGCAAAGCUUGCCAGGACUUCAGCACCAUCUGCUGAAUGGGUUCUUGCUCCUCCUGAGGAUCCUGGGAUAUGUGGCAGAAGCUCUGACUACCUCUGACCCUGGGAGCAAGUUUAUCCAGAGAAACCCAUUGGGGGAGACCACCAAGCUUGCUGGCUUGCUAGGUCUUACCAACGCAUGUUCCAGGCCAAGAGAAAUAAACAUGUGAAUUAUGUAUCC